UACGGAGGGUGCAAGCGUUAUCCGGAUUCACUGGGUUUAAAGGGUAGCGUAGGCGGGCAGGUAAGUCCGUGGUGAAAUCUCUGAGCUUAACUCAGAAACUGCCAUGGAUACUAUUUGUCUUGAAUAUUGUGGAGGUAAGCGGAAUAUGUCAUGUAGCGGUGAAAUGCUUAGAUAUGACAUAGAACACCAAUUGCGAAGGCAGCUACUACACAGUUAUUGACGCUGAGGCACGAAAGCGUGGGGGAUCAAACAGG
rnacentral:rRNA from 1 species